ensembl:lincRNA
GAAUAGGACGCGCAGCUUAUUUUUCAGUGAUUAAAAAACCAGAUAGUUAGAUGCAUAAUACAAGCAGACAAAUAGUGACAGGAGAAAGGGAGAGAAGGAGAAAGGGAGAAAAGAAAGGAAUAGAACUUGCAACUGAAAAGAUUAGGAGAGAACGAUAGGUUAACAGUAGGUGACAUUUUUGCAGCUUUCCAGAAUGCUUGAAAUUAUCUCCAUCUUCAAGGUACACACACACACAGAAGAGGAAGAUUCUAGUCAGGCCAUGAAUGGAGAGGAAACAGAGUUAAGGUAGACAAGUAGGGAAGAAAGCAUUUCGGAUGUGGGGAUUGACUGAACAAACUACUGAGGUCAGAAUGAGUUUGACUUGCAUGGAGAUUGCCCAGUACAAGUCUGAUGGAACAGCUUUGUGAGAUGCAGAGGAGGAGGAGAGUUCUUCCUAUGCUGGGGAGACAAACUGAACGCUGCCCACAGGGAAGGCAGAAAGAGCACCAGUGCCACCACCUGGAUACAGGGAGAAUGAGGCACCGCUUGAAAAGGAAGGCACUGUGUGUCCAAGAGGGAACAGGAAGUGGUCCGGAGAAUGGUGUAGAGCCCUCCUGAAGUAAGACAGGAGGGAGACCAGAAUUAAGACUCUCAAAAUACAGGAAAAGCUUCUUGUAAGUUUGCCUCAGGCUGCCUGAGGUCUAAUUAAGCUCUAUCAGAUCCUUAGCCCUGAAACCAAGGGGACAGCGUCAGCAAAUUUGUUAUCCUAUGAGGAAAGAAAAGCAAUGUGCCUUACAGUCCUCAUCUGCCUUGUGACAUUAGAGCUUUGUAGUGCUCCAUGAUACAUAGCUCUAUUUUAUGUGAUAUGAUCUGGGGAUUACUCUAACCAGGAAUUCAGGGCAGUUGACUACAAAUGUUUUACAAAUGACUACAAAUAGGCAGAGACUAAAUGCAAUGAAACGAAACCAAACCAAACCUCUACAGUAGACCUUUUUAUCUUCUACAGAGAUUUUCUUCUCUAUACUAAGUUCUAAAGAUCUCUACCUUUGGCAGACAGUUAUCCAGGCAAUUACAGGAGUCAGGCACUCUUCUUGGUACCAGUGUAGGAAAAGAGAGAAGUAAACAGCUUAGUGUUCUAAAUAAGGUUAAUUUUUAUUCUUGGAAUUUAGAUAACCAUUUCUGAUGUUAUUCACUUCAGGAAUCAUUUUUGGUAAUCUACUUCUAGUCUCCAUCUCUCCUAAGGAUUCCCUGGGGAUAAGCUAUGGGCCAUGCAUUGUGAUGGAAGGACCCUGGAACAGUUUUCUUGGGGAAGUAUCAUCCAUCAAUUAAAGGAGUUUGACUUCUGUUUUCUGCUCUAAUAUUCUUCAGUUUGUUGAUUUUAAAGGAAAUUUUUAGAAGACUUCAUGGGAUUAGAUAUAGAUAAUUAUGCCAGGUAGAAUCAGUCAUAAUGACUGAGCUAUCCAACAAAAAUUGUGAGAUUGGUUCAAUGACUUAGUCUUUGACAAACAGGAGAAAUCUACUUUUAACUUCAGUCAACCUACAUAGGUCCUGUACUUGUUUAUUGUGUAUGUUUUUGCUCAGAGUUUAAAAAUUUCCAUACUGGGAUAAGUGCUGGUUUCUGUUUGGUUGAAAAUUUAAAAAAUGAAUUUAGUUGAAUCUUGUCUGGAGGAAUUACAAUAAAAUCUGAAAUUUGCUACCCUAUAACAUAUUUUAAAGCUCAAAUUAUAAAAAUUAAAUAGAUGAAAUCUGAAUACUUUUAUUUUGAUUUAAGCUUCCUCAUUUUAACUACUCAUAAACUUACUGCAAAGCUUGGCAUGUAGUAGACAUUCAAUAAAC